rnacentral:rRNA from 1 species
GAUGAACGCUGGCGGCGUGCUUAACACAUGCAAGUCGAACGGUGAAGCGCCUUCCUUUUUGGUGGGUGUGGAUGAGUGGCGAACGGGUGAGUAACACGUGAGUAACCUGCCCCCUUCUUCUGGAUAACCGCAUGAAAGUGUGGCUAAUACGGGAUAUUCUGGGUCUGUCGCAUGAUGGGUCUGGGAAAGAUAUUGUUUCGGUGGGGGAUGGGCUCGCGGCCUAUCAGCUUGUUGGUGGGGUGAUGGCCUACCAAGGCGGUGACGGGUAGCCGGCCUGAGAGGGUGGACGGUCACACUGGGACUGAGACACGGCCCAGACUCCUACGGGAGGCAGCAGUGGGGAAUAUUGCACAAUGGGCGCAAGCCUGAUGCAGCGACGCCGCGUGAGGGAUGGAGGCCUUCGGGUUGUGAACCUCUUUCGCCAGUGAAGCAGGCCUGCCUCGUUUGUGGGUGGGUUGACGGUAGCUGGAGAAGAAGCGCCGGCUAACUACGUG